rnacentral:rRNA from 1 species
UAUGGAGCUUUAGACACCAAAGAAGAUCCUGUCAAGUAACCCCUUAUAAGGGCCUAAACUAAUGGAAUCCUUCCCUAAUGUCUUUGGUUGGGGCGACCGCGGGGAAACAAAAAACCCCCACGUGGAAAGGGAGCACCCCCUCCUACAACUAAGAGCCGCAGCUCUAAUUAACAGAAUAUCUGACCAAUAAGAUCCGGCAAUGCCGAUCAACGGACCGAGUUACCCUA